UGGGAAUUUGGACAAUGGGCGAAGCUGAUCCAGCAAUGCCGCGUGUGUGAAGAAGGCCUUCGGGUUGUAAAGCACUUUUGUCCGGAAAGAAAUCCUUGGCUCUAAUACAGUCGGGGGAUGACGGUACCGGAAGAAUAAGCACCGGCUAACUACGUGCCAGCAGCCGCGGUAAUACGUAGGGUGCAAGCGUUAACCGGAAUUACUGGGCGUAAAGCGUGCGCAGGCGGUUUGCUAAGACCGAAUGUGAAAUCCCCGGGCGUCAACCUGGGAACUGCAUUGGUGACUGGCAGGCUAGAGUAUGGCAGAGGGGGGUAGAAUUCCACGUGUAGCAGUGAAAUGCGUAGAGAUGUGGAGGAAUACCGAUGGCGAAGGCAGCCCCCUGGGCAAGUACUGACGCUCAUGCACGAAAA
rnacentral:rRNA from 1 species